ACUCCUACGGGAGGCAGCAGUGGGGAAUAUUGCACAAUGGGCGCAAGCCUGAUGCAGCCAUGCCGCGUGUAUGAAGAAGGCCUUCGGGUUGUAAAGUACUUUCAGCGGGGAGGAAGGCGAUAAGGUUAAUAACCUUGUUGAUUGACGUUACCCGCAGAAGAAGCACCGGCUAACUCCGUGCCAGCAGCCGCGGUAAUACGGAGGGUGCAAGCGUUAAUCGGAAUUACUGGGCGUAAAGCGCACGCAGGCGGUCUGUCAAGUCGGAUGUGAAAUCCCCGAGCUCAACCUGGGAACUGCAUUCGAAACUGGCAGGCUAGAGUCUUGUAGAGGGGGGUAGAAUUCCAGGUGUAGCGGUGAAAUGCGUAGAGAUCUGGAGGAAUACCGGUGGCGAAGGCGGCCCCCUGGACAAAGACUGACGCUCAGGUGCGAAAGCGUGGGGAGCAAACAGGAUUAGAAACCCCUGUAGUCCCAUGAU
rnacentral:rRNA from 1 species